GCCUCGUCAUGUUUCUCACUUCCUUCCGAUCCAAACUCUGGCUGUGUCCCCCUCCCCCUCCCUUUGUCUCGCUGAGCCGAUGACGAGAACAUAGCAGACGGGCAGUCGGAACCUGAUGCCGUGUCGAAUGUCUGCGACCUUAUCAGCCUCUGCGAGACAUUUCCUCCUUCAACCCGAGGAUAAAGGAACAAAUAUUCAUGGCAGCCGGUUCUUCAUCAUCAACAUCUUUCACUCGAAGACGCAUGAAUGAUGAACAAGGUGAAACAUCUCAUAUGUUAUGCUAUUGUGGGUUAAGAGCUACUCUCUGGACUUCAUGGAAGGAAACCAACCCAGGCAGGAAAGGGGAUGUGGCUUCUUCCUAUGGCAUGAUCCAGAAUUGUCAGAGAGAACUAAGGGAAUUAUUAAUGAUCUGAAGAGGGAUAACAAAAAAUUACAGAUGGAGAUUAGUGAAUUGAAGAAAUCUAAUAUGUACAUCGAAAGUGCAGUUGAUUGCAAUGUUCUCCUGGAACCUGUGAACAACUCUGUUAUUAUGAAGUUGAGUGAUGAAAUAUGUUCAUUGAAUAGAAAGUUUAGAGUUGCUAUCGUUAUAGUUGUAUUUACUUGGAUUGUGAUGAUUUGGAGAUGGUUGGUGUAAUUUGCUAUAAGAAAAUAACUGUUGAAGUAAUGA